AUGGCUCAUGGCGGCACCCUUCUCCGUCAGUCCGUCUAGGCGUGGACGCUUGCCGGUGCACGCCUUCCACCAUCGCAUUCGAGUCCGUGAAUGACUCUACGCAAUGUAGCAGUGGCCGGCACCCCGCCUCUCCUUCGGUGUCCUGGCGCAAUCGACGCAUAAGAGGUGAGAUCCGUUGCCUUCCCCUGCCCUGCUCCUGUAUCUCCUGUUGCUACGAAGGAGAGCUGCACAUGGAGGAGCCCGACGAGCAGGGGGCAUCUGUGCCUUGCAUCUAGUGAGCCAACCCCUUCCCAAUCCAGCCAGCGCUCUACUGACGGGGCGUGGCCUGGCCUCCACUCUCUACUAGUCUCGCCCCGACCGCUGGAGACAUAGGGGAGACUACGGGAUUCGGCAACCACGGUCGGAUCCAUCGAGGAGUAUGGCGACCAUGGCAGCCUCCAAUGGGUCCAGAUCCGGUGGUGUUGUCUUCACCAUCGUGGGUGCAAUGCAAGAGUGAACUUGGAGGCCUUCUGCAUCCAUGCCGACCAGGUCUUUCUCCCUGCAAUCAACUGCAAAAUAGUAUGUACAGGAUUUGCUUCUGUUUGGAUAGAUCAAUGUAUUAUCCCAAGUGCAGGAACAGCUGCAGAUUAGCAUUCCUUCAAUAUGGCAAUAGCACUUCCCCAAACAAAUUUACUGUGAAAGUACCGUUCAGAGAUUUUGACAAUUUGGAUUUAGAUAGUAAAACAUCUAUUAACACUGAGAAAUGCAGGAAUUAUUAGGCAAGGAACACUGAGAAAUACUGAGAUGUGCACAAUGCUUGUAUUAGGCAAAAAACUUAAUGAAGCAAAUUAACACUGCCAUAGUCCAGUGAAAAGAAUCUGAUAUAUAUGGAUUACGAAUUCGAGCUUCUAUUGGAGAAAUUUGAUGCACCCUUGGAUGGUAAGAGGAAAAGACAACCAUGCAAAGUUAAAGUUUCUUCAUACAGCAGGCAGUGUGAGACAUGCUUGUACUGCACACAAAAUGGGUCAGCAACUUGGGUGCCCUCCUCGAAGAGAUGAAGUCUAUAUAAAAACACAUACAAAAAAAAUAGAGUACUUCAUCCAAGAAAACAUCACAGGCAUAAUGCAGGCAGCUCAAGCAUACCAGGUUGCUCUCAAGAAAGUAACUGAAGAAAGACAGUAAACAAUUGAUGUAAAGGCAUGUUCUAAUAUAUGUGUAUCCAGCUAUCCCUACUAAACGGCAUUAGACUAUCUGGAAUUCAUCACGAAGCUUCAGAGCUAGGUGCUCUUCCUAUCCAUGUAGUGGGUCCUUGGCUUCUAUAGUUUCACAUUUCAGAAGGUGUAGAACACUUCAGUAUAGUACAGUUUAGUGAUUUCACUUAGCACUAGAGGAUGGUUGUCUAUUUUAAGCUUUCACCUAAUUUUUGGUGGCUUCCAUGGAUAUCAAGUGCUAGUUAGUGUUUGUUCAUGACAUAUGUGGAGACAAGCAUAGUUUGAUUUUUAAGUGACAUGAUUGGAUAUGUACUUGAGUUUGAUAAUUGAUUGAGUAUGUCUAAUGUGAUCAUUUGUGUAU